UGCUGAAAUUGAUAUAUGCUGAAAUUUAGAUUGUGAUCAAAUUACAUACCUAUUUCGCAAUCUCUUUCUUCAAAUCUGGAUCUGAAAGAGAUGAGGCUCACUGUUAACUGCAUAAGUAUCUGACCUCUAUGAGUAUUCACUCAGAAUCAGUCUGAAAUAGCCCUCUAAGAUUUGAAUUUUGAUUCUCUAAAAUUCAGCCUGUUGAAUUUGAAUGAAGCCUGGAUCGCGAUCAACGUUUGAUCUUUCUCCUUGAUUCUUAUCUUCUCUUCCCCUCUAGCUUUUCUCCUUGCCUUAUGGUGCUACAAGAGACCAACAACCAACAGAUGAAGGGCCGCCCAACACCUUGGGCGUGUGCAACACUUGGGACGCGCAUCCCAAGUAUGGGGC
rnacentral:lncRNA from 1 species